GGUGUGGCUCAGUGGCAGAGCAUCUGCUUGGCUUGCAGAAGGUUCAAAGUUAAAUCUCUCACAUAUCCA
rnacentral:tRNA from 1 species